UGCACAUCAUUACUUCAGGUUUCUGAGAGCUCCAAAAGCACACCCACUAACGCUACAUUUUGUACCACAACUCAUCUGUGCAACCCGGUAGGAAACUUCAGCAAGCCCUCCAGCAGAUCAUGGAGCACAUGGCUGCGACAGCGCAUGAGCUGCACGUCCUGCACCGUG